rnacentral:rRNA from 1 species
CCUACGGGAGGCAGCAGUGGGGAAUAUUGCGCAAUGGACGAAAGUCUGACGCAGCGACGCCGCGUGGGUGAAGAAGGCCUUCGGGUUGUAAAGCCCUGUCAGGGGGGACGAAGGGAAACUGACGGUACUCCCAGAGGAAGCCCCGGCCAACUACGUGCCAGCAGCCGCGGUAAUACGUAGGGGGCGAGCGUUGUCCGGAAUCAUUGGGCGUAAAGAGCACGUAGCGGCCUGUCAGGUCGGAUGUGAAAACCCGCGGCUCAACUGCGGGAUUGCAUUCGAAACCGGCAGGCUAGAGUCCAGUAGAGGAAAGUGGAAUUCCCAGUGUUGCGGUGAAAUGCGCAGAUAUUGGGAAGAACACCGGUGGCAAAGGGGUUUCUGGGCUGUGACUGACGCUUGAGUGCGAAACUAGGGAGCAACAGAUUAAUACCUGGUAUCUACGUAACAUUGGCACUAGUGUUGGGAGUGUAUCUUUCCGGCGAACUUACCAUUAACACUCCCCUUGGAUCGCCCCAGUUAACCCAAGAAUUGACGAAUCCUUAUUAUUCCGGCGCUUCAGGUUGACAUUUUGAAAACUCCCACCCCUUUG